CCUACGGGUGGCAGCAGUGAGGAAUAUUGGUCAAUGGGCGUAAGCCUGAACCAGCCAAGUCGCGUGAAGGAUGAAGGUUCUAUGGAUCGUAACCCUCUUUUAUAGGGGAAUACAGUGCGGGACGUGUGCCGUUUUAUAUGUACCUUAUGAAUAGGGAUCGGCUACCUCCGUGCCAGCAGCCGCGGUAAUACGGAGGAUCCGAGCGUUAUCCGGAUUUAUUGGGUUUAAGGGGUGCGUAGCCGGCCGUUUAAGUCAGCGGUGAAAGUCUGUGGCUCAACCAUAGAAUUGCCGUUGAAACUGGGGGGCUUGAGUAUGGUUGAGGCAGGCGGAAUGCGUGGUGUAGCGGUGAAAUGCUUAGAUAUUACGCAGAACCCCGAUUGCGAAGGCAGCCUGCUAAGCCAUGACUGACGCUGAUGCACGAAAGCGUGGGGAUCAAACAGGAUUAGAUACCCGAGUAGUC
rnacentral:rRNA from 1 species